ACUCACCUUGGAGGAGGCCCUCAACUCCCAUUGAUAAAAUGGGAGGGAGGAACUAGGCUCGUGAUUUUAAACUAGUCAAUUUGAACUGGAAAAAUUACAGAACUUCUCCUUCCUCAUCCCUAUCAUCGCUGAAGGCUGAAAGGGAGCUACAGAAAUGCCCCGUGGGGGACACUAAAGGACCUUCCUGUUGGCCUGGAAGAGACAAAACUGGCCUCGGGGGGCUCCUGGGUGGCUCAGUGGGUUAAAGCCUCUGCCUUCCCCUCAGGUCAUGAUCCCAGGGUCCUGGGAUCGAGCCCUGCAUCAGGCUCUCUGCUCGGCAGGGAGCCUGCUUCCUCCCCUCUCUCUCUGCCUCUGCCUACUUGUGAUCUCUAUCUAUCAGAUAGGUGGAAUCUUUAAAAACAAAACAAAACAAAAUAACUGGCCUCGGUGUAGGGACCCUCCUUGCCUACCUCUUCCUGACCUGUCGUCUGAUCACCUUCAUCCUAAGUGGGCCCUGGAGAGUUCCAGCAUGCCAGGGCAGAGCAGAUGCAUCCUAGGCAUGAGUCUGCCUGUCCUGGCAUGGCAAGUGGAGCCAUCCACCAACAGCUGCCCCCCACACUCCUAAUCUGACGGCAGCCCAGGCCAUCUGCUAAGACCGACGGCAGCCCACCCAGGACUGGAACAAACAUCAGACUCCACAACUCCAGGAUGCCUGGCACAGUGUCGAGCUAAGACCACUAUAAUCUAUUUUAUGGGGGUUCUCCACUGGCUGGCUUACCACAUCUUGCCCCUAGCCUGAGGACAUUAGAAAGGCAUGGAUGAACCUCCCCACUUUUCAGAUGAAAAAAACAAACAAACUGAGGCUCAGAGAAGGCCAGGGACACAAUGGCCCAGCCUACAUGGGAUUCAGGAGCUCAGUCACCCACGUACACAUAAGUGGGGAAGGGUGCACGCUACAGCACUGCUCACAGCUGUGAGACCGGAAACAAUGGAAAUGCCCUCCAGCAGAGGACAAGCAGACACCAUCCGUCGGCGCGGCUGUCACACAGUCAUGGAAAAGGGGGCCAUGGACCUGUGCAUCCACAGCAGAGACAGACUUGCAUAAAGACGAUAAAGUAGGGGUGCCUGGGUGGCUCAGUGGGUUAAGCCUCUGCCUUCGGCUCAGGUCAUGAUAUGAGGGUCCUGGGAUCGAGCCCCGCUUCGGGCUCUCUGCUCAGCGGGGAGCCUGCUCCCCCCACCCCCCACCCCGUCUGCCUCUCUGCCUACUUGUGAUCUGUCUGUCAAAUAAAUAAAUAAAAUCUUAAAAAAAAAAAAGACAAAGUACAGAACAAUAGGCUGCAGGGACAGAAUAUGCCACUGUUUGUGCAAUAAAAAAGGAUGUUAUUGACA